rfam:Candidate division WWE3 bacterium GW2011_GWC2_44_9 TW82_C0007, whole genome shotgun sequence.
AGAUCCUAAUGAUAAGUGUAGUUCUUACGUCAUUAGGAAGUCAGCAGAGUCCAUAGUACCAUUGAUAUCCAAAUGCUAAAUGAUAUUAUAUGGGAAGGGA